UCUACUUGGCAAUCCUGGGCAGACCUCGAGCACCAGUACCACUGUAGAUACACAUAAUUUGCAUAUGCAUUUGAAUUUCUCAAAAAUGAAUACUUUUACUACGAGUGCUAUAUUUUUGUUAUGCGUUGGUUCAAUUCAUGCAAUGAGUGGAGACGCAACUUAUUACGAUCUUGGCAUGACGGCGUGUGGACAAGUUUAUAGUGACAAUGAUCUUGUGGCUGCCAUUGGGAAAAAUUACUGGACGACAGGAAAUCCGAAUAACGAUCCAGUUUGUCAAAAGCGUGCACGUGUAACAGAUCCACAGAUCGGAAAGAGCGUUACUGUUCAGAUCAAGGAUAAAUGCAUGGGAUGCAAAUCUGGAGAUAUUGACUUGUCCCGUGCCGCUUUUAAGCAACUAAGAGAUUUGAGCGUUGGAAGAUUUAAGGUCAACUGGAAUUUCGUGUAAAUUAAGUCUCAAUAAUUAUUUAUUCAUUAAAUUAACUAAUUUCGACACAUCAAAAAUUUUGUUAGUGAUGGUAUUACUAAAACAUAAUUGGCUGACCAAAAUAAAAUUAUCUAAUUACGCAUUAUGAAACC